rnacentral:rRNA from 1 species
UAAUACGUAGGGUGCAAGCGUUAAUCGGAAUUACUGGGCGUAAAGCGUGCGCAGGCAGUUUUAUAAGUCAGGUGUGAAAUCCCCGAGCUCAACUUGGGAACUGCGUUUGAAACUGUAAGACUAGAGUGUGUCAGAGGGGGGUAGAAUUCCAAGUGUAGCAGUGAAAUGCGUAGAGAUUUGGAGGAAUACCAAUGGCGAAGGCAGCCCCCUGGGAUAACACUGACGCUCAUGCACGAAAGCGUGGGGAGCAAACAGGAUUAGAUACCCUGGUAGUCCACGCCCUAAACGAUGUCUACUAGUUGUUGGUGGAGUAAAAUCCAUGAGUAACGCAGCUAACGCGUGAAGUAGACCGCCUGGGGAGUACGGUCGCAAGAUUA